rnacentral:lncRNA from 1 species
UUUUGACUAUUAACGUAGAUUCGAAUUUAAAAUCUCAUGUUCUAAUCAACCGUCUCCAACACAAAAGAUACAGGACUUGAUAUUUAGUAUUCGAAAGCAGUACAUUUAGGCUUCGUUUGGGAUUGUAGAGAUAUUUCGUUAUGUGCUGUAAGAAACGACGAUAGAAAAAUAUCCUGUUUGUUUCCGUGCGUAAUAUUGUGUUUCAUAUAUUGCAGUUAGUCGGUUACGAUAUAUUUUUUACGGUUCUAUCGGAGAACGCAGAAGUAUAUCUCUAUAUAUUUUUUCUCAACUCCAUUCUAUCUAAUAGUGUUAGAUAGAUCUCAAUACCACAUUAAGGCUUAGUAUUUAUAUUUAAUAAUAUUGAAUAAUUGCGAGCUUUC